UGAUCCGAUAGCCUUCGCGGAAAUCGAAGAGUCGAUUUCGGUGCGUUUUUCGGCGAAAUUUGUCGGAAGAACGUGGUUUCGAUUCGGAUUUCUUCCGACGUUGUUUGGUUGUCCUGUGAAUUGUCGCUGAGCUUUGUUGGCUGGUCACCAUCAUCAUUUUGUGGGUUCAUUGAUGAUGAGUGAGCGACGGUAGGUUCCGGUGUCGAAAUAGAUACUUCCGGGAACCCAGAUCCGAACAAUUAUCCGACGAUAAUUGUUGGGUUAUGUUACCUUGUGUUUGUUGCCAGGACGUCCAAAUCGGAGUGUUUUGUGGCAGCGGGUGACUUGUGACACGAGUCGGUGAGCUUUCGGGACAUUUAGUGGGUCCCGACGGCAUCCCGGUGUGAUUUUCGAGACUUUCGGUGAGUUACGAUGAUCGGUUUUGGGAAACCGAUUCGGGGAUCUGUGUGGGGGUUUGUGAGUCUUGUGCUUUGGGUUAGUGGGUUGGAUACUGACCUGGUGAACCUUUGUAGGUCCGGUCGACUUGUGUGCAUCUAGGUUUUCCGACGCGAUUGUGACAGGUGGGUGCUUCGAGCUGGUAGUCGGUGAGAGCGUUUCACCUU
rnacentral:lncRNA from 1 species